rnacentral:rRNA from 1 species
GAUGAACGCUGGCUACAGGCUUAACACAUGCAAGUCGAGGGGAAACGACGGGGAAGCUUGCUUCCCCGGGCGUCGACCGGCGCACGGGUGAGUAACGCGUAUCCAACCUGCCUCUGACUGAGGUAUAACCCGUCGAAAGUCGGCCUAAUACCUCAUGGCAUCGUCUGCGGGCAUCCAACGACGAUUAAAGAUUUCAUCGGUCAGGGAUGGGGAUGCGUCUGAUUAGCUUGUUGGCGGGGUAACGGCCCACCAAGGCUACGAUCAGUAGGGGUUCUGAGAGGAAGGUCCCCCACAUUGGAACUGAGACACGGUCCAAACUCCUACGGGAGGCAGCAGUGAGGAAUAUUGGUCAAUGGGCGGGAGCCUGAACCAGCCAAGUAGCGUGCAGGAUGACGGCCCUAUGGGUUGUAAACUGCUUUUAUGCGGGGAUAAAGUGAGGGACGUGUCCUUCAUUGCAGGUACCGCAUGAAUAAGGACCGGCUAAUUCCGUG